CCUACGGGAGGCAGCAGUGAGGAAUAUUGGUCAAUGGACGAGAGUCUGAACCAGCCAAGUCGCGUGAAGGAUGACUGCCCUAUGGGUUGUAAACUUCUUUUAUAAAGGAAUAAAACGUGGCACGUGUGCCUUAUUACAUGUACUUUAUGAAUAAGGAUCGGCUAACUCCGUGCCAGCAGCCGCAGGAAUACGGAGGAUCCGAGCGUUAUCCGGAUUUUGUGGGUUUAAAGGGAGCGUAGAUGGGUUGGUAAGUCAGUUGUGAAAGUUUCCGGCUCAACCGUAAACUUGCAAUUGAUACUGGCAGUCUUGAGUACAGUUGAGGCAGACGGAAUUCGUGGUGUAGCGGUG
rnacentral:rRNA from 1 species